rnacentral:hammerhead_ribozyme from 1 species
AUCCAGCUGAUCAGUUCCGAAAAGGACGAAAUGCGCGUCCUGGAU